rnacentral:misc_RNA from 1 species
UCCGGUUUGUCACCGGCAGUCUCAUUAGAGUGCCCUUUCGUAGCAACUAAUGACAAGGGUUGCGCUCGUUGCGGGACUUAACCCAACAUCUCACGACACGAGCUGACGACAGCCAUGCAGCACCUGUGCGCCGGUUCUCUUUCGAGCACUUCUUGGUUUCCCAAGAAUUCCGACCAUGUCAAGGGUAGGUAAGGUUUUUCGCGUUGCAUCGAAUUAAUCCACAUCAUCCACCGCUUGUGCGGGUCCCCGUCAAUUCCUUUGAGUUUUAAUCUUGCGACCGUACUCCCCAGGCGGUCUACUUCACGCGUUAGCUGCGUUACCAAGCCAAUUAAAGCCCGACAACUAGUAGACAUCGUUUAGGGCGUGGACUAC